UACGUAGGGUGCAGGCGUUAAUCGGAAUUACUGGGCGUAAAGCGUGCGCAGGCGGUUUGCUAAGACAGGUGUGAAAUCCCCCGGGCUUAACCUGGGAACUGCGCUUGUAACUGGCAAGCUGGAGUGUGGCAGAGGGGGGGUGGAAUUCCACGUGUAGCAGUGAAAUGCGUAGAGAUGUGGAGGAACACCAAUGGCGAAGGCAGCCCCCUGGGCUAACACUGACGCUCAUGCACGAAAGCGUGGGGAGCAAACAGG
rnacentral:rRNA from 1 species